rnacentral:rRNA from 1 species
AGCAGCCGCGGUAAUUCCAGCUCCAAUAGCGUAUAUUAAAGUUGUUGCAGUUAAAAAGCUCGUAGUUGAAUUUCGGGGUCAAUACGUCGGUCGUGCCUCGGUACGCACUAACGUUAUUGAUUCCUCCCUUCUGACGAACCGUGAUGUCAUUAAUUUGGUGUUGUGGGGAAUCAGGACUGUUACCUUGAAAAAAUUAGAGUGUUUAAAGCAGGCAAUCGCUCGAAUACAUUAGCAUGGAAUAAUGAAAUAGGACGUUCGAACCUAUUUUGUUGGUUUCUAGGAUCGACGUAAUGAUUAAUAGGGAUAGUUGGGGGCAUUAGUAUUCAAUUGUCAGAGGUGAAAUUCUUGGAUUUAUUGAAGACUAACUACUGCGAAAGCAUUUGCCAAGGAUGUUUUCAUUAAUCAAGAACGAAAGUUAGGGGAUCGAAGACGAUCAGAUACCGUCAUAGUCUUAACCAUAAACUAUGCCGACUAGGGAUCGGAUGAUGUUAAUUUUUUAAUGACUCAUUCGGCGUCUUACG